AACAAAACUACAAAUAAUGACGGAAAAAUGGAUUACAUUUGGUGGCUAUCGGUGACCUAGCCAAUCGCUCCCACCCAACCAUGGAUGCCCUCGAGGUGCUGCAGGGCACAACCCAUUCUCAGUCGGCAGGAGCCCCCUCCUCGCGACUACGGCGGUUCCAUCUCCCCCACUGGGAAAGUUUACUCACACAUUGUGGGGAUUACAAAGGUUUAAUAAAUAUCCUUUUAAGACCGAAACCUGGCCGCCGUCUUCAAUAUUUACGCGGUCAAAGCAGAGGACUGGUUUUGCUGGAAAAGGGUAGAGGCGCCGCGGAAACUAUGCUCUACCAGUCAUGUAUUGGUAGAGCUCGCAUGGAAACGCGGCCCUCAAAGGAACAUACGCGAUGCGUAUGUGUAUGGUCACCUAAUCCUGAGGAGCUCCAAGGGAAAAGAAGGGACAGGCCAAGAGGCAAACAACGAGGACAAACAAGGCUCUCGGGUCUAACUCCGGAUAAAUUCACAAAACAGGGAAGUAAAUUUCAAUAUAUAUAAUCAAGGUACACGUGUAUUUAAUUUUUCUAAAUUUCAGCCACUAUUGGGCCGGGCCUGGAGGCAAUGAUAGCCCGGGCGGAAGACUUCUCGCCGGAGGCCAGCAGCGAUACGGAUUCCCCGGGAAAUGCUUGAUGUCGUCGGAGUCGACUGUGAAAGGCUUUUCUGGCUGGUCGUUAGUACGGGUCAAACGGACACCGGUUGCUGGGCAGCCAAGUCGGGCUGGUAGGUAUGGCGAAGUCGCGCAGAUGUCAGUAGAACUCCAAAUAAAUAUUCCGGGGGCCUUUGUAUUGGGACCUCGGCUGCCUUUAUAAACGAAUUUAAAAGAAUCAAGCGUUGCCACUGGCAAAUUAAAAGAAUCAAGCGUUGCCAGACCGAAAAAAUGCUGUCUCAUCUUAAUGGGAAAGGGGUCAAAGAGAAAGAAGAUGUUGGUGUUACCAGCUCAGGAAAAUCAUGACUCAUGUUCAUGAAGAGGAAGAACACUUGGCGCCUUGAUUCAAAAAUAUUGCAUUUUUUGAGUUGAAGCUAAAGCUUAGCUUAGGAAAACCGAUAUAAAGACAACAUCGUUUCAGAGCCACUAUUCCGGAGAAAAGUGCGCGAUAGCCCCACAAGUCCAUGGCCUCUGCACAGCCUUUAUAUCGGCACCUUCAUUUUGCUCAUCCACUCGUGGGCGGGCUGGAAUACCUCCAACGAAGGUCCCAACACAAGGAUGCAGUGCGCGGAUGCACUACUCGAGAGCUAGACUUGGGUCCUCGGGCUGCAAAAGCAAGUCCUCAUGCGUAUAAUGCGUAUAAUGAUAAAAAUGAUAACUAUUAACUCACCCUUCGCGCUCCAUAAGCGGGGACAAGAACUUCAGAUACAAGUUGUCUCCGGAUUCCAGCAGAUCUUCGCAACAGCGGCGGAAGGCAGUGGAUCCCAGAGGAUCAUUUCCGCAGACUUGUGUAGUGACAGUUGUACAGCUCCCCAAAGCUCGUUUGUGAUUCUGGUCUGCAUCUAAGCGGCUCUCGUGGCCAUCAAUGGCUGGUGAGCCAGAUUGUGCAGCUGGGCCAGGGAACCCGAUCCCGGAAGGUGACGAGCAUCUAACGGAUGGGCAGCAAAAGCAAGGACUUUUCUGACACCCCAAUUUACCGAUGAUACAUAUUAAGGUUAGAGGAGGCUUUACAUGGUCAUCUGGUGCUAUCUGAAGGCAUAUUUAUUUUCAAAUUGUUUAUUAGAGUAAAGGAUAGUCUAGGCACUUGACUAUAGUUCUAUAGUUUCUUCUUACUUAUCUCAAAAAUACUUAUUUCAUUACAUUUGUGCCUCAAUAGAAGGUGUUUUUAAAUUAAAAAUGUUACUGGCUUGGGUCUUUUUAUUUCUAUGCUGAUGUGUCAUACAUCUUUCCGUUCUGAUUACAAAUAAAGUGUUAUUACUCUGAUUUUUCCAUUUUAAAACGUUGACAAACAACUGAUAAAGCAGAAAGAAAUACUGAUUCAUCGCUCGAAACAAAAGAGAUUCAUCCAGUUAAAGAGUGGCGAGGUUCCUUGUUCACAGCCUCAAAUUGAUCUAAGCUCCGCUUUUAUCCUCACUUCCGCAAGUCGUACUUCGACAUUCAUUCGAUCUCGUAUUGUGGGCUUUGAUCGUGUUGUUUGGAUAAAUUCUAGAAAGAAAUAUGUAUAAUAAGUACAACAUGAAAAUAAGGACUUUUUAAAAUGUAAACUAAACUUAUAGCUUAGUAAGGACUGAGACAAACACGAUGAAUCAUUGAACGGUGUUUUAGUAGUAGUAAAAUGAGGGUCUCCAACACCAA